rnacentral:rRNA from 1 species
UAGUGAUAUGCUUGUCUCAAAGAUUAAGCCAUGCAGGUGUAAGUACGAGUUGUCGUAAAGCGAAACUGCGAAUGGCUCAUUAAAUCAGUCUUGGUUUAUUUGGUCUCGAUGCGAAGUGGACAACUGUGGUAAUUCUAGAGCUAAUACAUGCGUCAAGCGCCGACUUCGGGAGGCGUGCUUUUAUCAGAUCAAAACCGACCGGGUUCGCCCGUCUCUUUUGAUGACUCUGGAUAACCACGCGGAUCGCACGGUCUCUGCACCGGCGACGUACCAUUCAAGUGUCUGCCCUAUCAACUUUCGAAGGUAGGCUACGGGCCUACCUUUGUGAUAACGGGUAACGGGGAAUCAGGGUUCGAUUCCGGAGAGGGAGCCUGAGAAACGGCUACCACAUCCAAGGAAGGCAGCAGGCGCGCAAAUUACCCAUUCCCGACACGGGGAGGUAGUGACGAAAAAUAACAAUACAGGACUCUAACGAGGCCCUGUAAUUGGAAUGAGUACAUUCUAAAACUCUUAACGAGUAUCCAUUGGAGGGCAAGUCUGGUGCCAGCAGCCGCGGUAAUUCCAGCUCCAACAGUAUAUACUAAAUUU